rnacentral:tRNA from 1 species
GGUCGACUCGCACGCGGUGCUGGGCGCCGUCCGCUCCGCCACGGCGGGCUGCGCGGCCGGGGCGCAGGCCGCCGCCCCGUUCGCCGCCGGGCGCUGGCUG